GAUGAACGCCGGCGGUGUGCCUAAUACAUGCAAGUCGUACGCACUGGCCCAACUGAUUGAUGGUGCUUGCACCUGAUUGACGAUGGAUCACCAGUGAGUGGCGGACGGGUGAGUAACACGUAGGUAACCUGCCCCGGAGCGGGGGAUAACAUUUGGAAACAGAUGCUAAUACCGCAUAACGUGCGGUCCUCGCAUGGGGACUGUACCAAAGAUUUUAUCGCUGGAAGAUGAGCUCGCGGCCGAUUAGGUAGUUGGUGAGAUAACAGCCCACCAAGCCGACGAUCGGUAGCCGGACUGAGAGGUUGAUCGGCCACAUUGGGACUGAGACACGGCCCAG
rnacentral:rRNA from 1 species